UUGGAGUCGAAUAUCUCGCACGUAGUGUUGUCGCUUUUCCGCGUGUCUGAUUGGCCGGUCGAAGCCGGGUGAUCGAGAUCGCGGCGAGUUCCGCGAAUUUCGUGCGUGUGCGUCGUGAUCAAUCGUAUUGUGACAGUUCGCGUCGUGUCGUUAGGAGGUUAAUAUUAUUAUUAAUGUGAUCUCUCAUCAUUAAAUACGAUCGUUUAAUUCCGAAUUUUGGUUGCGUCACGCAAGGAUCGAAGUGACGACGGCGAUCGAGAUCGCGGCGAGUUUGGCGAGUUUCGCACGUGUAUCGCGUGAUGUGACGUGUGUUCGCGUGGCGUGUUUUGCGAGAUAUACCGAUGAAUUUAAUGUUCGAGAAGAUCUGAUGGGAUUAGCUGUUGGUGCUCAUGGCACAAAUAUUCAACAAGCGUGAAAAGUUGAUGUCAUUACAAAUAUAGUUAGAAGAAAAUUCAUGCACAUUUAAGAUAUAUAGAGAGACGCAUGAAGCUGUUAAGAAAGAGCGAUCUAUGCUGGAAUACAACGUUAACCUAAAAAUAGAUAGUGACAGUGGCAGAGUCGUGACCAUCGCCGCGUGAUAGAUGAUAGUGAUAGUGAAAUAUAUAUUGACGGCAGGGAGCUGAUGCCGAGGAGAUCUUUCAGAAGGAAGGUGUAUCCAAAAUCACAC